GUCGAGAAUAAUUCACAAUGGACGAAAGUCUGAUGGUGCAACGCCGCGUGGAGGAUGAAGGUCUUCGGAUUGUAAACUCCUGUCAUCGGGGAGUAAGACCUGGCGGUAAAUAGCCGACAGGGUUGAUAGUACCCGAAGAGGAAGGGACGGCUAACUUCGUGCCAGCAGCCGCGGUAAUACGAAGGUCCCAAGCGUUGUUCGGAAUCACUGGGCGUAAAGGGAGCGUAGGCGGCGUGGUAAGUCAGAUGUGAAAUCCCGGGGCUCAACCCCGGAACUGCAUCCGAUACUACCAUGCUUGAGGGUUGGAGAGGUAGCUGGAAUUCUCGGUGUAGCAGUGAAAUGCGUGGAUAUCGAGAGGAACACUCGUGGCGAAGGCGAGCUACUGGACAACAUCUGACGCUGAGGCUCGAAGGCCAGGGGAGCAAAAGGGAUUAGAUACCCGGGUAGUCC
rnacentral:rRNA from 1 species